UGAGUCAUAGUAUCUUGUUCCUUGGUCU
rnacentral:piRNA from 1 species